AGCGUGACGCCGGGCGGAGGAGAGCGGUGGCUGCUGGGAAAUGUAGCCCCCACCCCCGGCGACUACAGCUCCCGGCUGCGCGCGCUCCUCGGAUUGUCGUCUCCCGCUCUUUUCCUCCGUCCCGCAGGCGAGCGCUGUUCGGCAGCCGCUCGGUAGCGUGUGCCCGUGGUGGAGCGGCCUCAUUGAUCACACGCCCCCAUUUCACCCACCGCGGUCGCGAGGCUGGGGCCGUCCCACCUGAGGUCAUCUUGUCAGAUUCGGCGUUCUGCAGGUGUUAAGGACUUGCACGAGCGCCGAUGGAGCCGCUUGGUGUGAAGGGCCACUGGGAAAGCAUCGUUAUCCUGUCUUUGUAUAGGGCUAGAAUGGCUGAAAAUAUUUCCUGACAAACUGCUGAAGAAUCAGUAUCUAGACGGCAAUACUCCCUCCUCCCACCUGCAAAUAAAGUUAAUUUAAACGAAUAGCUGAAAGGAUAAAUCACAAUCAGAUAAAUGCAAUUAGCACAAAGGCACAAGCCUAUUUAUCUGCAGUAUUUAUUCAGAGAAUUCGCUUAUGCUCCUGGGGACAUUUUAGCUGAGUAACGUGGGUCGGAAGGGGCCGUAGUUGCCUGAGGUCAUUCCUUUUUAAUACAGUUUGUAAAAUGGCAGCAAAACAUGAUGCCAGAGACUCAUCAGAAGUGCUGUGCUCCGCAGUAAAGUGGGGGUUGUGGUGCAGCACUCAGUGUACUACAGCCCGAUUCUGUGUGCUCCCCACAUUCAAUUGUAAUGAUUCCUACAGAUUCAGAGCACCCUCAUGCCACCUGUUUCACAAAGGUUAUCCCAGGUCUCCUAAUUUAAGAGCACGAGAAAAACACUUCAUGUGCAAAGGCACACACCAACACACUCAGCAGAAGAAGACAGCAGGCUCUGGAGAUGUUCUUGUUAGCAGUACCACUUGAAAUAAAAGGCAGUUUGUGGAAAACAGUCUGUUAUCCUUGAAGGCAGUCCUUGGAGUGAAGCAGAGAGAGAAAGAAGCUGUGCUUUUCUCUAAUUGUUCAAUUAUCUGACUGUUCACGCUCACAAAAAAGAUCUAAAACACAGAGAUCUUCAAAUACGUCUUAGGAAUGCAGAACUGGAAGGGAGGUUUCCUGGGACAUCAGGUGUGCCCUUGUCCCCUAGGAUCCCAGGUGUCCAUACCUAACUGAAUGUCCUCCCAAAGCGGACCAGGUGGGUCUGCCCACGUUACUGCUCUGGUAAUCAGGAGCUUUCUUCCACUUUUCGAUCUGAAUUUACACAUGGGUGGUCUGUGCCCAUGUGUUCCCAUUGCCCUUUGACUCCAAUAGCUUUUUUUUUUUUUCUUCUCAGUGUCUCCCCACAAUGUACUUACAGGCAGCUUUUGUAUCCCUGACCAGUCUUUGCAUUCUCUUUCCUAGACUAAACAAGCUCCUUUUGCCUCCCAUGGCAAGAUAAACUACACAGUGCAAGAACACUGGUGGUGGGCACCCCGUCCCUGGAGACAUUCAAGGAAUUGUGAAUUUUGCUGCAGAUUGACUACUGCUAUGAGAUGUGGAGAAUGGAGCUUAUGAAAUUGAUUUUUGUCAGAAGGAAGUGGAAGGGUGAAACGCACAUCUUCCUUUUCUAAAGUUUGAUUGAUGAUGGCUAUUUUGAAGAACGGUAAAAUGAAACAGGAUGGUUUGCAAUCUGCAGUUUUCCAGCUGGAGUCUGGCAACCUUGAUGAAGAGUUUUCUGAUUAUAGGAGUUCUAUAGAAAAUAAGGGAAUAAAAAGUAAUCUAUCACAGAUUACUCUGAUAACAUACCAAAAGUCUUUAUAUCAAGUGGACAAAUUGUACAUACCCGCAGACAACGUCAAGAAACACCAGAAGGCCUUGAAAGCCCACAAUGACCUCUGUGUAAUAUACCCAGUUAUCAGAGGCAGACAACAUACAGCCUUCAUAGAAUCAGUUUUGCCAUAAACUAUACUCAAAGAGAAUUGUUGAAUUACAUCAAAUAUGCAACAAUCACCCAAUUUGCUUUUUUUUGUUGUUUUUUUUUUUGUUGUUGUUGUUUUUGUUGUUAUUGUUUUUAAAUAAAGCCUUUCAAGAAAACAUGCCUUCAUUAAACAGGAAUUACUGAAUCCCUACUCCUCAACUGCAGAAAACUUGGCUGACGAGUCAGUUCUGGAUGAAAAGCUGAUGAGCACCGAGAAAUGCUAAUGUGGGAAAAAUUCUAUUCAUUUUUCCUCUGCUAUAAGUCAUCAUCAAUGGCGCUGUUGAACGUUCAUCUGUGAUUUAAGAAGGUAUAAAUCACCUAAGUGAUUCCAGUUAGCGCGUGAAGGUGGGGAGGGAGUUUAGAAAGAAGGAAUUUCAUGUUCUUUAACACUGUAAAAUGCUAGGGGGCUUAUUCAGCUCUCUUCAGUAGCCUGUUUUUCUAGUCUGGGAGAUUUUCCCUUCACUCGUGAAAGCAAGAGACCGAUUUCAAUGUCAAAAUACUUAAGGAAAAGACAAAACAUUUGCCACUGUAAAAAUAAUUCAAAGAGCAAGAGAAAGAUGAGCAAAGGGACCAUUUCGAAUUGAACAAUUUAAUAAUAUCCUCCUUUGUAAAGGGAAAUUGAAUGUCUUCAUACAGAAGCUCUUCUGACAAUAAUACCUAAUUUUAUCAGUAGUGAUGAUUUCCAGUCUUUAAAAUGCUAGGUACGCACCUGUAUGCCUCAUCAAUCGGUGGGGCUGUCACAACUGUGGGAGCAAAUUGGGUAUGCACAUAACAAGGAACAGAAAAUUUACACUGCUGUUCCAGCUGUGAGCUUAAACACAACACCGUGUAUGCUCUGGGCUGCUUGUGCUCAUCCAGCAGUGUAAGGUCUUCAGCGUAGUAAGGCAUUUAAGAUGGUGCUUAUUCAACAAAACUCUUAAUUAUAAAUGUGCUUUUAGAUUGAGCAUACGAUUAAGAAGCAUUCUUGAAUAGAGAAGUUUCCAUUAAUUGAUGCCUGAAAUAGAAUCAUAGAAACACAGGGUUGGAAACGACCUAUAAGAUCAUCUAGUCCAACUGUCUCCUCAUCACCAUUGCCACCACUAGCACUGAAAGUAGAGUUAGCCUUUAAAUUAUCUAACAGGUUGCACUUGUGUUUAUAUAUUCAGGAAUGGCAGAGUUGCACUGCCUGGAGGCUUGUUUGUACUUACAUCCCCCUAAAUAAUUUUCAGCAAGGCUUGAUCUGUGUUUCUAAUUCCAAAACCACUUCCACUCAAGUUAUAUCAACACCACUAAAUGUUAUUCAGCUCUGCACCUCAAAGCACUAUGCAAAAAUAUAGUUAUUUCCAUGUUACAGGGAGAGGAGAAAAGAGCCGAGUGCCUUCCUGGCUGCACGUUAAGCUCUCUAGAAGGAAAUGGGCAGAGUUCAGGUCCCCACAUCCUUCAAGCAGGACAUGAGGCUAUGAAGCACCCUUCUGGCUGAAGGAACAUCUUGCCUCUGCUUCUCCUGGGCUGGAGCUGGGUGCAGCACUCUUGUUGCGACGGUCAGUUGGCACACAGCAUUAUCUGCCAGCUGUAUGUGGCUCUCCCAUCCUCAAGGAGGAAGGUCUUUACUCUUGCAGUUCCACUGCUUGCCACUGAGAUUUCAGCUUCUGGCAGAGCUGAGCUGUACUGCACUCAACACGGUACGGAUUUCCUAUGCAGUCACCAGCAGUGUGGUGCAGAGAUCCUUUGGUUGCACAAAUGCUUUCUGUUGCGAUGCAUGCAGGUUGCAGUAUGCCAGCAUUGCAGUUAAACAGUUUGGAAGUGCAGUAUCAUUACCAAACUGUGGAAUUUCUUCUCCAGCACAAACUUCUUGUCUUCAUCGUGUGUGAAGAAAACAAUUUACAGAAAUAAAUACCUGCUUCCCCAUUGCUGAAAACCACACAUCAAGGAAACAAAUUCAAGAAGAAACACCGUCUUUGUUGCCAGGAUUGAUUACAGGGUGGUGUUAACUGUUCCAGUGUCAAAUCCUGUAUUAAAAUUAUAACAUUGUUUUACAGAUUUUGUUUUUCAUUUGUGUUGAUAUGAAUUGCAAAGCUAGACCUUCUAAUUCCCUGUGGAUUCAGCAACCUCUAUACACUAAUCCUCUUACUGCAUCUUUGGCUCUUCCAUCCUCUGCUACGUAUUUUUCUGUUUUUUUAAAAGGAAGAGAGCUUCAUUUUCAGUUAGAUGCUAAUGCACUGAAAGAUUCUCUUCCAGAACUGUAGUAAUCCUUCCAUGUAAUUAUUUCAUUUUAUCUUUCAGGCUCGUAUGGCUUCUUAAACCCAUUUUGUUUCAGAGCCUUACAACUCCUGGAGGUACAGUAUUCAUCACUACUGAUAGAGAUGGAUUAUGGUGGAUUCAUUAAGCUGUAAUCAACGCAGAGACUUGGAUGCAAUGUUUUUACAUACUAUAUAACCCUAACCAGCACGGCUGGCAUAUUUUGAAAUGACCCAGGAGAUCCAAACAUUUUUAGUAUCAGUUUUUCGUGAGGUUUGUCAUCUCCCUCUGAUUCACUUGGAAGCAUCUCAGCCAAGUGAUGGCACUGCCUGUUGAAGGGCCGUACAUGAAGGCCUUUCACUAAAGCUGAGAGUAUUUUUCUUCCAUACCACACAUUUGGCAACAAGGCUGGCUGAGAAAGUGCAUUCUGCUUCUCCCUUAUAUACGUCACUUCUGUAUGCUAUGCUGCCCUGUGACUCUGAGGCUGCCCUGGCAACCGGGAGAUGGAAAUGCUCUUCAUUAACAGGAAUUAUGCCUUAAGAAUGUCAGGUAUUGCUUCAAGGCAGUAAGAGUCUAUCUCAUAAAUGCGUUGUUUACUUGUGAAUGAAUAUGAUGUGAGAACAGCGCCGUGGAAGAUAAAGUUUCAAAAUAUGUUACUGAUAAUUUAUAUCAGUGCAGAGUCAGUGCUAUCAAUGGCUGCAGCUACAGUAAUUUACAAGAAGUAUGAGCACAGAUGAACAUUAUGCACUUUGAGGGAAUUGUUUAACUUUAUUUCUUGAACUUGAAAAGUGUGUCUUGUUAAAAGUGAACAUAGAAAUCCUCCAAGGAGCUUAAUAAAAUAAAGCCAUAUUGUCAGGAUCAACCUAGAAGGUAGUACUAAAGCAGCCAUCUCAGCAGUGGAAGUGUAGUUGUAGGGCCGUGCAUGAAAUUAAGAAUGCUUUUAGCAAUACAGUAGGACAACAUGAAUGAACCCAGUAUUGAAGAAUGAGCCUAAACAAAAUAUUCCGAACAGUGAGGCCAACCUGCGGCCUAGAGGUGAUAGGGCUCCCCAGGCAAUGACCAGGUUGUGGUGAGGCCCUGCCUCACGCCCUCUGUAAGUCUUUGCGGAUGCUGACGUGGUGCAGGUGGGGAGCAGCUACCAUUUCAGCAUGCAGAUUUCAGUGAGGUAAAGAACCAUUCUGCACCGUAAGCUUUGCAGAUGUUGGCCAGGGCACAGCAAAUCGUGGUCACAGGUAUUUAUUUGACAUCCAAACUGUUUCAGCAGCACUGUUCUGCUUUCAGCUUCCCAAAGGUGCCCUGUGUUGUUCUGUGAAUGCCACAAACAGAGCUGAAUACUCUGUGCGACUUCACCAGCUCUGGCAGGAGUGAAGAUAACCAGGUUCCCCAAAGGAGCACAAAUUCUCCUUGCUGCAGCAGAAUAGUCUCAUCUUUUCCAGGUGCAUAAUGCCCAGCUACCAUCACCGGUCCAUGCUCUCCAUAGUACCAAGCACCCAUGACCUACCUAUUGCACAGAUCGAGAUGCAUUUUGUGGAUAAAAUUUUCCUUGGCCUCUUGUGCUGACAGGUGAUGAACUUGUGAAAACCUUUGUACAGCUGAGGUCUGUGGCACUUUGAAAGUCAGCUAGAUUUUUAGGAACUCUACAUCUGCCAACAGACAGGGGUAAGCCACCUUCAUAACAGGAUCGCUUCAGCUUCCGCCUGCCUGGUGCAUUUCUUUGGCACACCAGGCAGCUCCAUCCUGCAUCAACAGCAGGCCUGGAAUUCAUGCUGUGCAAACGUAACCUUUCAAGCAUGAAUUUCUGACAAAGGUGGUUGCCCAGAGCAAAUGGUGAAGGCUUUUCUUGCAGAGAUGAAAAGGUGGAGAGAGGGAACCAGCUUGGCAGCUGGGGCAGUAAGCAAUCAGCAUUGUGUUUUGUUUUGUUUUAAAAGUGUUUGAAGUUUUUCCUGUGCAGCUGACUUGUGUUGCAGCAGAGAAGACCUCACCAUGGAGCGUUUCUCCCCAUCAUCUGCAGACGGGCUGCUGGCAGCACUCCCAUCCACAAUGAUCUAGCACAGCUGGCCUGCCAGGAUUUCUGUCUGAUAGCUGAAUAUUUUGUGUCAUGCCGUUCUUGGCUGCCCUUUUAUACUUUCUCCAUGUUACAAGAACCUCCAGCAGAUUCUCGGGUGAUGGGCAGGAAACCAUUUACCACGUCCUUCCUCCAAGCUAUGGCAUUGCUUUCAAAAAGCAUUAUCUAAUUGCUAGAAUCUGAGGAUUUGUCUUUGCUUGCUUUAGCCAGAGCUCUGGUGCCUCGAUGCCAUCAGGCGUGGCUCCUCUCCAUCACAUACCCUGAGAAGAAAGCUAUUGCAUCAUUGCAUGCACUGCCUCUUGCUGGCUGCAGUUCUCCAUUCUCCAGCACAUGCAGAAAGUAGUGGCUCAGAGGCUGUGCUGACUCUCCCUCCAUCCUUAGUGCCACGGAACAAUUUUUGAAGGAAGUGAUCAUGCUGAGCCAGUGUGGCUGUGGAGUAAUGGAGGCCACACAGUCAUGAUUUUGCUGGAGAUGAAGGAAGCCACGUUGUUUGGAAAGCCUCCACAUGAAGCUUGGAGCAAACGCACUCACUGCAGAGGAGAGGUGUGCCUCUCCCAGGGAGUAACAGGAGCUGAGGAAUGGAAAUCAUUUGUGACAUUUCCAAUCUACGUCCUCUCAGGAGCAUAAAGGUGACUGCAGAGGAUGAAACCACUGGUCUUGCCAACAGUGUCCUGCUGAAGGAGGCUGUCACUGCAGCACGCCAAGGGGACAUGCAAGCAGCACGGUGGCAGGCAGUGUGGGACAAGCAUCUCUAGAAACCUUUCCCAAAACUGCCGCAAUGGGAGGCUGGCUGCUCCCCAGAAGCCCAAGAGUGUAAAUCCUUUCCAGAGCCCCUGUUUAUUUUUAUGUAUGUAUUACUAGCCCUCCAGCCCUCUUUCAAAUCCUGCUAAGCUUUUGGUUGUGAUGACACUCAAGAGGAAUGGAUUCCACAGAGUAAUUGCAUGCCACGCAAAAAUUUAUUUCCUUUUUAUCAGUUUUAAAAGCUUCCCUUUUCAAUGUAAUUGAAUGUUCCCUUGUGUUUAUACUGUGAAAGCGAAACCAGCAGCGUAUGUUUAUGAGGGCAUUUGCUGGACAGAGGCUGAGCCUGGCUUCCCACAGCUCCAAGCCAGGGAAAAUCAUGCAGAGAAGAAUAAGCAAAUCAAUGGUUCUUUUAAUCAAACUCAACAGUAAUUUGCAAGAAGAGGAAAAUCUUAUUCUUGAGCAUUUUCAUGGGGAAAUUAGUCCUUAUAACAGACAAAAGAUUUUUGCUUUUUUUUUUUUCUUUCCUAUUUGCCAUCCAGGAAUGAUUUCAUAUGUUUUCACCCUCACCCUGUCCUUUUGUUCCAGCUGCAAAAUGUACACACGAACACCUCUUACUAAAGAGGCUAAUUAAGCACAUGAUCCCUUUUCCCUUCUCAUAAAAGCUGCUGGAGAGCAACCCAAGCAACGUCCUUAAUACAGCUGUGCUCGGAAAGCUCCUUCCUUGGCAAGGGAAGGGUACUUGUGAUGGCAAGACAAGUCUGUUCCCACAUUUCCUGAUGUGCUGGGUCACAUCACACAUUCAAGCACUGCUUUAACAGGGAAUAGAAACAUGGGCAGAAGUGGGUUUUUUUGGUGUCACUACAUUUCAGCAGAUGUUACAGGCUCAAUUAUCCCGGCACUUCAGCUGUAACAUUGCAUUUUCUCUAAGCUCCAUUUAUUUGGCUGAAACCCUUUCGUUGGAAGACACUGCCUUCUGUAGCUGGAGCUUCAGCACGGUAGAGCUUGACAGCUACCUUUGGUAAGCAAAUUUAUCUUUUGGGAUUGACUCCACAUCCCAGCUACAAAUCACGUCUGACAUACAGCUGAACAAAACAAGUUUCUUAACGUGGAGUAUAAUACACCUGCCCAUUCUAGACUAUCCAAUGCUUUGAUGUGGGCUCAUUAGUCACAAAGAAUAAGUCAGCGUUCAGAUAAACUACACUUCUGCAAGGCAGGAAAAGUCUACGUUCAGCAUCCUCACGGGAAAAGUGAGCAUCUCUGCGUGUCGGGAAACAACGUGACACAUCCCACAGCUCCUGAGUCACAGCUGGGAAAUGCAGCACAGCAGUUAUUCCAUUCUGAGGUCGACUGUGAUGAGCUGUGUUGGAGUGGUGGGCAGUUUUAAGAAAUGGGGAUCACUUCUUUCAUUUUGACUUCCUGCCUUUGCCGACUCUAUAAGCAUACCGUGGUCACCUUUCUUUCCUGCCUUGCUUUGUGAAAGAGAACUGGGCAUUUGUAAUAUGUAUAACAUAAACAUUUUAAACACUUUCUGAGGAGCACAGGUAAUACAGUGUAAAUGAAGUUGAAAAUAACUGGGAAUGAUGAGCCAGAAAAAUAAUACAGGAAUCAGCCAAAUGCUAAGCGAGCACGGUAAAGCAAAUGCUUCAAGAGAAUCAUUUUCUUUUGAAAUCUGCCUAAACAUAGAAUACAUCUCUCUCCUGUCCCCUGCUUUAUGAGCACACGCACAUGUUGAUUGGUAAGAAAGCAAGAGCUGCCCCUGUACCGCAUUGUGAUCUAUAGCAAGAUGUGGCAGCUUUCCUCUAUUCCUUACCAGAAAUUCAGUAGAACGACAAGGAGAGGGGACACAUUAAAGUUUUAUUACUUCAGUGGCAGUAUUCUCCAGAGAAAACAAUAAUAAAUUCCCCACACUGUGACUGUCUAAAUAGAUUAUCCAACAAUUAUUAUUAAUUAUUAAUCAUCCACUGACUCAGAAGCCACCCCGUGGCUGCCUACUGCAAGAAUCCUACAGCUUUUGCAACCUAAUGAUAUGAUUUUCCAAAUUACAAUGUUGCAGUGCUAAACCAUAUGAAAGGUUAAUGGGAGAGGGAGUGAUGAAGUGAUACAAAUGUCUAAAAUUGUACCUUGACUUGCCGGCAGUAGGUUGUGAAAAAGCAACCCAAGCAAAUUCAGCAGAAAACUAGUUAACUUAAGGAUUAUUACAAGAUCUGAAGUGGGAGUUGAAGGCAUAUUAAAGGGUCUGUGGAUUUGUGAAAAUACCUUAAAAUAGUCCAGGAGGCAAAAAAAUCUUGUUCUCUUCUGUUACCGAAGAGCACCUUUUCCAACCCAGCAUACAAGUGGCAAGGCUGAGUGCUGUAAUUCACAUCACCUAUGCGCAUCCUUGGCUGUCCAUGUUUACCACAAGAUUGAUUUCUCAUUCUUAAGCACAUUUGUAACGUCUGUGCAAAUGAAUGUAGGACACAUCCCAACAAGAUCAAUAUUUAUGCAGCCUACUUUGGAAAGAACAAGAGAGUUGCUUCAGCGCAGCAGGGGACCUACUCAUUGGCUUUCCUGCAGUUUCCUCUUUUCCUCCUUUUCCACACAGUUUUCCUGCUGAGCGCUCACUGCUGAUUAAAAGUAGUGCUAAUGAAAAAAGUAGUGAAGGCUGCCUGGAGCAGUGGGACCCCAUAGGGACACACAGCCAAAUGCAGCGCCCAUAGCUCCUGUCCGCUGCUUCCUCCAGCCCCAUCCAUCUGCUUCCCUGUGGCUCACGGCUGCUCACACUUCAUGCCACUUGCAAAAGAGCAGCAAUCAAUUAUCCUAAUUAAAUGCAACAAUGGAAUAUUGAA